rnacentral:rRNA from 1 species
UACGUAGGGGGCUAGCGUUGUCCGGAUUUAUUGGGCGUAAAGAGCGUGUAGGCGGCCAGGUAGGUCUGGUGUGAAAACUCGAGGCUUAACCUCGAGAUGUCAUCGGAAACCAUCUGGCUAGAGUCCGGAAGAGGAGAGUGGAAUUCCUGGUGUAGCGGUGAAAUGCGCAGAUAUCAGGAGGAACACCGGUGGCGAAGGCGGAUCUCUGGGCCUUACCUGACGCUGAGGCGCGAAAGCUAGGGGAGCAAACAGG